CAGUCGCCGCGGGAAUACGUAGGUGGCAAGCGUUGUCCGGAAUUAUUGGGCGUAAAGGGCUCGCAGGCGGUUUCUUAAGUCUGAUGUGAAAGCCCCCGGCCCAACCGGGGAGGGUCAUUGGAAACUGGGAAACUUGAGUGCAGAAGAGGAGAGUGGAAUUCCACGUGUAGCGGUGAAAUGCGUAGAGAUGUGGAGGAACACCAGUGGCGAAGGCGACUCUCUGGUCUGUAACUGACGCUGAGGAGCGAAAGCGUGGGGAGCGAACAGGAUUAGAUACCCCGGUAGUCCCUGUCUCUUAUAA
rnacentral:rRNA from 1 species